UGCUAUUUGAAUUUAUAUAAAAAGUAAUUUCUCCUGCCCAGUGACCACUGUUUAACGGCCGCGGUAUCCUAACCGUGCAAAGGUAGCAUAAUAACUUGUCCAUUAAUUGUGGACUAGAAUGAAAGGAGUAACGAAAUAAGUACUGUCUCAAUAAGUAUAAAUAUAAACUAUUAUUUGAGUGAAGAAACUUAAAUACAAAUAAAGGACAAGAAGACCCUAUAGAGCUUAAUUUAUAAAUAAUUACAAAUUAUCAAAAAUUCGGUUGGGGCGACCCAGGAUUUAAAAUCAUCCAUAAAAUGUAAGACAUAUAAGUCAAUUUAUAGACCCUUUUCAAGAUCAACAAAUCAAGCUACCUUAGGGAUAACAGGCUAAUCCUAUUAUAGAGUCCUUAUCAACAAUAGGGAUUGGCACCUCGAUGUUGGCUUAGAAUAUCUCAUAUGGCGCAAAAGUCUAUAUAAAGAUGGUUUGUUCAACCAAUAACAUUC
rnacentral:rRNA from 1 species